rnacentral:rRNA from 1 species
AGUGAACGCUGGCGGUAGGCCUAACACAUGCAAGUCGAACGGCAGCACAGUAAGAGCUUGCUCUUACGGGUGGCGAGUGGCGGACGGGUGAGGAAUACAUCGGAAUCUACUUUUUCGUGGGGGAUAACGUAGGGAAACUUACGCUAAUACCGCAUACGACCUACGGGUGAAAGCAGGGGAUCUUCGGACCUUGCGCGAUUGAAUGAGCCGAUGUCGGAUUAGCUAGUUGGCGGGGUAAAGGCCCACCAAGGCGACGAUCCGUAGCUGGUCUGAGAGGAUGAUCAGCCACACUGGAACUGAGACACGGUCCAGACUCCUACGGGAGGCAGCAGUGGGGAAUAUUGGAAAUGGGCGCAAGCCUGAUCCAGCCAUACCGCGUGGGUGAAGAAGGCCUUCGGGUUGUAAAGCCCUUUUGUUGGGAAAGAAAAGCAGCAGGUUAAUACCCCGCUGUUCUGACGGUACCCAAAGAAUAAGCACCGGCUAACUUCGUG